UCUAAAUUCUAGGUUAUACCUAUAGAAAUAAAGUUUUAUAUUCCAAAAAUAUUUUUAUAUAAAUUUGGGCCUAAAUAAAUUUAUUUACUUAAAUAUAUUUAUCAUGGACAUUAUAUUAAUUUUGGAUUAAGAAUAAAAUAUUUUCAUAAAUUUUGUUAGUGUUGGGCUUAUUGUUAUUAAUGUGCCAAAUUCUUUUGCAAUGAUCCUAAAACAAUUAUUCAAGUUUCAACAUUUAUAGUUUAUUAAUGAUUUCAAGGAUUUGGAUACCUUAUUUUCGUAUCUGCAAAUUAACAAUUUCUACUCUAUUUAUUUACAUUUGUUUAAAGAAGUCUCCAAGCCAGCCAUUCCUAUUUUUAUUUUUAUCAGAUAUCUAACCGCCCUAUUUUUCUCAUUUAGCCACUUUUAUGCUCAUCAUAUAUAUAUACAUCUUCUACUCCAUCUCUGCAAAUUUUACAAAGCAAAAACUAUACUUUGAGAUAACCAAGUUUUUCUCUCUAACUGCAGAUCAAUCAACAUGGUAUUAAUUUUCAAUCUAUGAAAUUUCUAUUUCAGUACAAUUUAUCAUUUCCUGUUUUUACAUCUCUACAACUACAAGUAUUUCUCUGAACAUUCUAUAUAUAUUUAGAAAAAUCACAAGCAUACACCUAUUCACUAAUCAAACCCCCUUUCCGUAAAAUUUGACAACCACAGCAGCAAAACUUUGAUUUCAAAUCUUGAUUUUUUUCCUUCCACAGCAGGAUUUCUUUCACACUUCAAAUCUUUGACGAACAAGUAAAUUCAAUCUAUUUAAACCUCAUUGUAUCAUCCUCAAAUUCACAAAUCAACAAAACAAAUUCAGUCUUUUAAGAUUCAUCCUGUUUCUUCCCACUGCCGAAUCUCCAUCGGUGCGGCGCGACUAGGAUAUGAAUUUUAAUUGUAUUACUCAAGUUAGCAUUCAAGUUGAAGUUCAAGUUCAAGUUAAAUUUCCAGUUUCAGGUGAUUGAUAUUGGAGGCGCGUGGAGAGUUGAAUGGGCGCGUCGAAUCUAUUUAAAAUAAAUGUUUCUUAAAACAUAUUAUGUUAUUUCAUGUUAUAUCUUUUGGUUAUGUAAACUCUGAAAUUCUAUACUAUUUGAGAUUUGUGUGUGAUUUAUUUAAAUAAAUGUUGUUAUAUUAUUUUAAUGUCA